GACGGAGGAUGCAAGUGUUACUCCGGAAUCACUGGGCGUAAAGCGUCUGUAGGUGGUUCAAUAAGUCAACUGUUAAAUCUUGAGGCUCAACUUCAAAAUCGCAGUCGAAACUAUUGGACUCGAGUAUAGUAGGGGUAAAGGGAAUUUCCAGUGGAGCGGUGAAAUGCGUAGAGAUUGGAAAGAACACCAAUGGCGAAAGCACUUUACUGGGCUAUUACUGACACUGAGAGACGAAAGCUAGGGUAGCAAAUGGG
rnacentral:rRNA from 1 species